AGGAAUAUAGCUCAAUGGUAGAGUAUGUGCUUAACAUGCAUGAGGUCCUGGGUUCAACCCCCAGUGCAUCUG
rnacentral:tRNA from 1 species